rnacentral:rRNA from 1 species
AUGUCAGACCUUUUUAGUGGGAUACAAGCUGCGAUGGUUAUAAACCGUGUAGAAAAUUGUGACAAAUCUGUUGAAGAUUGGGAUAGCGACGGUGAUGGUUCAGGUUGUUCAACGGGGGUAGCUGGAACACCAUGCUUCACCUCGCGGUUAUCUGUGCUAAAGGCUGCUUCAGUAAUUGCCCAGUUUAGCGAAUUUAAGAGACAGUUAGUUAGCGAAAUCGGUUUUGGGGGAAUGUUAGAGUUGAAGUCAUGGCAAAAGAUUAAUCUGAAAUACAGUGCGUACUUGAUGGAUAGAGUUGAUUUAGAUUCAUGCUCCUUGAACCUGGAGUCACAGGGGGUGUUGGGUUUGGUUGACAAGAAUAUAAAUUAUGUAUUUGGCAUCCCAUGUGGCAAUCUAACCAUUCAAGGUGAAGGCGUUGAACCAUCUGAAGCUUGUAUCGAGUACACGCGUGUAGCAGCAUCAUUCAGUGAGAAAGGCACACAUAGCCUAAAAGCUGCUGAAUCAAUCUUGCUUGCACCCAUAACAGAAAAAUCAACGGAAACAGAGAAGCAUUGUUUCAAAAUUGCCUUUGUGAUUUUCAUCAUUGGACAUGUGCUUGCUCCGACCGCCAAACAUGACUACAUAUCAGUAGAUUUUUGGGCUGCACUGAAUGAUGUCAACAAGAUCAAAGAUUGGAACUGGGGGGCAUAUGUGCUGAAGAAUUUGUUACAAGCAGUUAGGAAGUUCAAAACCGAUGUUUCAAAGAGGAACCCAACCAUACAUAUAGUUGGAUGCCAUCUGUUUCUGCAGGUGUUUGUUCUCGACAACUUAGAGCUCGGUCUACUAAACAAGCAACACGGAGUAACACCAAGGAUAGGCUUGUAUGAUUAUGAGUCAAUGAAAAAGAUGGUCGAGCAAAUCACAGUAAACAUCCCAAGUGGUGAAGUCACUUUCAGCGGUGGCAAGGUCAGGGAUGAUACGCCUGCAGGGGGUAUUGAGUCACAUGUAAAUGUUGCAGGCACAGGAAAGAUUGCCAAACCAGCUUUCACCCCGAAAAGAGCAAGUACUCCAUGCUCGCCAAUGUUGCGAUCUACUUACACGAAGAAUGGCCCGCAAGAGUUUUCAAACUAUAUACGAUCGCGGUACCCCACCAUAUCAGCACAGAAACUUGGCAUUCUCCUCCGGGAACAAAAUGCACGCGGCCUGGCAAACAUAUCGGAAAUGCGGCAAGCGUUCCAAUCAAACAUGUUCACAUUCACUGACAAGCUAAUGGCGUGCCUCGGAGAAAUGUGUACAUGUUGUAAAGCACACGGACGGAAAAUGUGUGUCCUCAAGAGCGAAGACAAAACCAUACACGAACCGCCCCCAACUCCAUCAACUGAACAGCUAAGCACUCCACUAGUCACCAAGAUUGGACCACGCCUUCCUGCACCAGGAAUGCCAGAAGGUCAAGUGUCUGCUACUAGUUCUGUUUCUAGGAAAAGGGAUGGAAGCCUAUCAUCAAGUAUGCAGUCCGGUCCAUCUAAGAGACUUUGUUUACCAGCCUCCAUUGGAGAAGAUGACCUUUGCCAAAAACAGAGACCAAUAGCCCAAGAUUCUAUAGUUAUGGACAUCGCUAGCAGCAUCCUGUCAAUGUAUGAUGAUCUAACAGCCGUCCUUGUCACUUAUUAUGCCGAGAUCCGUCCAGCACCCACGACGAUCUUGUUUGGUGCAACAACAGAUGGAGCACCUGUGAAGAUUGACCUGGCACAGUGCAACUUUGGGAGGGACCCAUGGGUUGCUGGUUCGGUACCCCCGCCCCCUCCAGAAAAUGCGCUUAGGGCUAUACGAGACUGGAUGUCAGCAGCAUCCAUGACCAAUUUGCAGAGGAAUUGGAUUUUACACCUUAAACCAAGGCUCAUAUCAAUCGAAGGGAUUGAAAUCCAGCAACAACUUGCACAUGGAGACCCAAUGUCACACGAGAUAUGUACUGCUAUCUUUCGGAGGCUUGCCCAACUGGACCAGUCUUGCUCUAAGGACACUCCUGGCAACAUCUGGAGAAAGUACAUAGAGCCUGACUUUGCUACAACUGUUUUGUCGAACGCCGAUCCAUUGACUGUUCAAUCUAUUCGCACUGGGUUUCAGGAAGGAACAGGUCUUUGCAACCCAGCUUCAUGCCGAAUGUGGUUCAUCCCAGCAAUUCUUCCAGAUGGAUGGGCUGUAUAUUUGUUUGAUAUGAUGCGGAAACGGAUCAUUGUGUUAGACCCAGCAGUUGGCCCAUUUGUGUAUAGCAAUAGGCGGGUCAGCAUGCACGAGUUUGUAAGCAACAAACUGCAUGCUGCCCUGUUCAACUGUUUACAUAGUUUCUUCAGUUCUUGGUACUGUGAUUCCACUAACUGGGGACGCACAUUCCCGAUCAUAAUGCGGGAAAAAAUUGAGAGAGAUGAAACUGGCUUGGGUGCUACUUUCUUUGCUAGGAAUUUCGACGGUGACAGACUACAAAUCCCGCUGACCAAAGAGACGUUGGCAUCACACAGCAACCUCAUGCUUUACGAGCUGAUGCGGAUGCAAGGGAACCAAACCAAGGCGGCACACGAUUCACUCGAAGCAAUCAAAGGAACGUUCCUUGUUCUUUAG